rnacentral:misc_RNA from 1 species
CAAAUAAAAGAUUUAGGAUAUACAACAAAACACAGAUACAAAAUUAACUAACAAAUAAACAUACUAACAAGUUAAAAAUUACCUUUGUCAAAAACAUCUGUUUGUGAUUAAUAUAUAAUACAUAAAUAUCUUAUUUAGAUUCAUGAAAGAAAAAGCGAACGCUGCUACGUUUCCCGUUCCCAAACUCCCAACAGCUCCAGUACACAGAAUAUACUCAAUAUACUAUGCUCCAGUCGACUGCGACCUGCGACGACUGUGACUGGAACAGUCUGACCGGGCGACGGGGCUAGGAGCAUUUUCAGAAUUUACACUAUUGCCUGCUAUUGCUCCUAUUGCUACUCACGAGCGCAGAUGUCCUAAACUUGUAAACUGCUCCGAAAUGUCACUGCGAUUUUCUUGGAACUGGAGCAGUCACAUACUGCGACGUUGGUGGAGCUGUGACAAAGUAGCGGACUGCGAUUUCACAACCCACCUCUACUGACGAGUUGACAUGACAUAAAAAGCUGUUGCUGUGACAGUGAAAUAUUUCUUUUGUAAGCAAAUUGUGUUUUUAUCGUGAUCAAAUCAAAGUUCACGGGUACCUAGGUUUACAACUUACAACCACAGAAAAUUUUACUGAAUCCAGCUUUAAGAAUAUUUCUUUAGUAAAAAUGCAGUGAAAGUACAUUUUCCAGACGCAACUGAUCUGGACAUUACGCGAUGUAUUGGUAUUUCACUAGCGACAGCCGGAGACGGGAUGGGGAAGAAUAUUUAGAGAUCAAGAAAUUUGUAUUCUUCACAUUUGGGUGAUUCUGUACCUGUCCAUCCCCACCAUAUCACUAUAUUGUGACAAAUACUUCACCUACUACGAAGAAUAUGGAGAGAACUUCUUCAAUGUCACCUGCAGCGACAUCAGCAAAAACACCCAACACGUUUUGGAGAACAUCACGAUCAACAACGAAAUUUCAUUGACUAUCAUCGAUUCAUCACUUGAAAACGUCACCCCAGAUCUGUUCAGAAACGUGCGU